UAAAAUAUGAUUCCUUAUACACUCCGAUAAUGAGUUGAAUAUUUUAUAGAAAACUAUAUAGACCACCAUCGAGGUUGUCUUCGAAAUACCGUCAUCUACACAUUUUAUAAUAGGUGUCGUUUCGUUAUUUUUUUACGUGAACACAUUUUCGUUAUACUUUCGGUUUGAAAUACAAUGUACUUUGAUGGUAAUACGUCAACAAUGCCACUUGUGAAGUAGUGACUGCUUCGUCUACCGAACACGCAAAGACCGUGUAUCAAUUUUCUACUAAA